UACGUAGGUGACCAGCGUUGUCCGGAUUUACUGGGCGUAAAGAGCGCGCAGGCGGUCGUUCAAGUCGAGUGUGAAAGCCCCCGGCUCAACUGGGGAGGGUCAUUCGAUACUGAUCGACUUGAAGGCAGGAGAGGGAAGUGGAAUUCCCGGUGUAGUGGUGAAAUGCGUAGAUAUCGGGAGGAACACCGAUGGCGAAGGCAGGUCUCUGGGCAUUAACUGACGCUGAGGAGCGAAAGCAUGGGGAGCGAACAGG
rnacentral:rRNA from 1 species